UACGUAGGGAGCAAGCGUUGUCCGGAAUCAUUGGGCGUAAAGCGCGCGUAGGUGGCCACAUAAGUCCGUUGUGAAAGUCAAAGGCUCAACCUUUGAAAGCCGAUGGAUACUGUGUGGCUAGAGUACGGAAGAGGCGAGUGGAAUUCCUGGUGUAGCGGUGGAAUGCGCAGAUAUCAGGAGGAACACCGGUGGCGAAGGCGGGUCUCUGGGCAGUAACUGACGCUGAGUGAGCGAAAGCCAGGGGAGCAAACGGG
rnacentral:rRNA from 1 species